CAGAGUUCAUGCCCUUACGGGUAGAUCUCCCACCCUUGAAUAUCAUACUUUUGUUGCUUUGGCGGGCCGCCUAGGCUACCGGCUCUCGCUGGUAAGUGCCCGCCAGAGGACCCAAAACUCUGAAUUAUAGUGUUGUCUGAGUACUAUAUAAUAGUUA
rnacentral:misc_RNA from 1 species